rnacentral:tRNA from 4 species
GCGGGUAUAGUUCAGGGGUAGAAUAUCUCCUUGCCAAGGAGGAUGUCGCGCGUUCGAAUCGCGUUACCCGCU